AGUGGCUGUCUGGUCGGAUUAGAGGAGGAAGGGGGUUCCGGGCUAGAGGCAGGACGUGAAGCUGAGGAAUUUGUUUAGCACACAGUCAGCGCUCAAUAAAUACGAUUGAAUGAAUGAAUGAAUGGCCCUGUCCCAGCAGAGGGAAGCAACAGACAGCAGAGGACCGCACCGGACGGUGGAGAACAGCAGUGGACAGCAAGGGGAAGCAGAAGCCAGCAGAGGACCGCACUGACCUGUGCCCGGGCCACAAGGAUGGAGCCAGGUGGAAUUCCUUCUGCUUUCCCAAUCCUCUCCAUGGCCAGUGGCCAGAGGUGCCCGGAGCCGUACCGUCCCCGUCUGGUGGUGUCCCCUCCGACCGGCCGGGGUCUUCCCCGUCAAGGUGGUUCAGACCUUUUAUCCAUCUCAUGACCCGCUGGUGAGGAGGGCACUGAGCAUCUCCACGGCUUUGCCGUGGUUGCUUCGGGAAGAGAGGCUGGUGGAAGUAGAUCAAUCCUGGGUUGGGUGGGAGUGUACAGAGAAGCAGCAUGGUAUAGUGGAUAGAGCAGGGGCCUGGGAGUCACCAGGACCUGGGUUCAAAUUCUGGCUCUGCCACUUGUCUGCUGUGUGACCUUGUGCAAGUCACAUCACUUCUCUGUACCUCAGUUACCUCAUCUCUAAAACGGGGAUUGAGACUGUGAGCCCCACGCGGGACAGGGACUGUGUCCAACUCGAUUUGCUUAUAUCCAUCCCAGCCCUUAGUACGGGGCCUGGUACGUAGUAAGCGCUUAACAAAUACCAAAAUUAUUGGUUUUAGUGCCCACCAGCGGGCGAGGGACAGAGAGAGACACCUGCCCAUCCUGCGGGAUCGCUGCGUCUUUCUGAGCUCUUGCUAUCGGAAACCACCUCCGUGUCACCUUCGCCAUCCCACCCCGCGGGCAAGGCCUUGCGGCAGGCAGGUGCCCUGGGUGGCAGGGAGAGGCAGCUGGUACAGGAACAAACACCAUCUGUCUCUUUUGGUGUCACAGCUGGAAGCUGGGGGUGGGGAUGAUCCAUCAGAGGAUUUAAAGAGCCUGGCUUAGAGGUGGCGCCGCCAGCGCCCGGGGAUGCCCGGUGCUGGGCGCCCAGGAUGACACGGGACCCGGGAAUCCAGAUUCUCAUCUCACAUGCUGAGCUGUGAGACAGUACCCGAAGGUCAUUGUUAUUAGAAUGUGCGUGAGUGUAUUACAGUAAUAUUAACCUCACACUCCACAGACAAUCCCCGCCUCGAGGACCUACUGCCCCCGUCUCUAGCCCCAUUAUAUCCAGAGGGAGAAACUGAGGCUCAGAGGAGCAGUGUGGCCUAGUAGAACACGGAUCUGGGAAUCAGAGGACUUGAGUUCUAUUCCCCGCUCUGCCGCAUUCCUGCU
rnacentral:lncRNA from 1 species